rnacentral:rRNA from 1 species
GACGUGACUUCAGAGUUUGAUCCUGGCUCAGGAUGAACGCUGGCGGCGUGCCUAACACAUGCAAGUCGAGCGUGAUAUUCCGGAAUGAAACUUCGGUCGAAUGAAGGAAUUGAAAGCGGCGGACGGGUGAGUAACGCGUAGGCAACCUGCCCCUUACAGAGGGAUAGCCACUGGAAACGGUGAUUAAUACCUCAUAAUGCGAGAGUAUCCCAUGAUACUUUCGCCAAAGAUUUAUCGGUAAGGGAUGGGCCUGCGUCUGAUUAGCUAGUUGGUGAGGUAACGGCCCACCAAGGCAACGAUCAGUAGCCGACCUGAGAGGGUAAUCGGCCACAUUGGAACUGAGACACGGUCCAA